GGAGUAAUUAAUAACAAGAUCAAACCAGGUACGAAUAAAGCCACUGCCCAAGUUACCCAGUCAAUAGAAAGGCCUAGGAUUUUUUUGAAGUAAUCCGCUGCUAACGCAUUUGGUGCCAUAGCUGUUAAGAAUAAAAGAGAAGUUACUUUUGUUACCAUAUAUGUAUUAGUCAUCAAGUAACGACCUACUUUGUUCGCUGUUUCACCAGGCUCAGAACCCAAGGAUUUCGCUACGGAGUUCAUG
rnacentral:antisense_RNA from 1 species